CACGUAGGGUGCGAGCGUUGUCCGGAAUUAUUGGGCGUAAAGAGCUCGUAGGCGGUGUGUCGCGUCGGCCGUGAAAACCUGCAGCUUAACUGUGGGCUUGCGGUCGAUACGGGCAUCACUGGAGUUCGGCAGGGGAGACUGGAAUUCCUGGUGUAGCGGUGAAAUGCGCAGAUAUCAGGAGGAACACCGGUGGCGAAGGCGGGUCUCUGGGCCGAUACUGACGCUGAGGAGCGAAAGCGUGGGGAGCGAACAGA
rnacentral:rRNA from 1 species